rnacentral:rRNA from 1 species
CGACGAGUGGCGGACGGGUGAGUAAUACUUAGGAAUCUGCCCAGUAGUGGGGGACAACUCGGGGAAACUCGAGCUAAUACCGCAUACGCCCUAAGGGGGAAAGCGGGGGAUCUUCGGACCUCGCGCUAUUGGAUGAGCCUAAGUCGGAUUAGCUUGUAGGUAGGGUAACGGCCUACCUAGGCGACGAUCCGUAGCUGGUCUGAGAGGACGAUCAGCCACACUGAGACUGAGACACGGCCCAG